UACGAAUCGUCCAAACGUUGUUCGGAUUCACUGGGUUUAAAGGGCGCGUAGGCGGUGCGUUAAGUCGGCGGUGAAAUACUUCGGCUCAACCGGAGAAUUGCCGCUGAAACUGGCGUGCUCGAGGAAGGUAGAGGUGCGUGGAACUUCCGGUGGAGCGGUGAAAUGCGUUGAUAUCGGAAGGAACACCUGUGGCGAAAGCGAUGCACUGGACCUUUUCUGACGCUGAGGCGCGAAAGCCAGGGGAGCGAACGGG
rnacentral:rRNA from 1 species